GCCGGGCAUGUUGGCACAUGCCUGUAAUCCCAGCAGCUCGGGAGGCUGAGACAGGAGUAUCCCGAGUUCAAAGCCAGCCUCAGCAAAAGUGAGGUGCUAAGUAACUCUGUGAGACCCUGUCUCUA
rnacentral:sRNA from 1 species